rnacentral:rRNA from 1 species
UUUGGUUAAGUUAGAAAGGGCGCACGGUGGAUGCCUUGACACUAGGAGUCGAUGAAGGACGGGACUAACGCCGAUAUGCUUCGGGGAGCUGUAAGUAAGCUUUGAUCCGAAGAUUUCCGAAUGGGGAAACCCACCAUACGUAAUGGUAUGGUAUCCUUAUCUGAAUACAUAGGGUAAGGAAGACAGACCCAGGGAACUGAAACAUCUAAGUACCUGGAGGAAGAGAAAGCAAAUGCGAUUUCCUGAGUAGCGGCGAGCGAAACGGAACAUAGCCCAAACCAAGAGGCUUGCCUCUUGGGGUUGUAGGACAUUCUAUACGGAGUUACAAAGGAACGAGGUAGACGAAGCGACCUGGAAAGGUCCGUCGUAGAGGGUAACAACCCCGUAGUCGAAACUUCGUUCUCUCUUGAAUGUAUCCUGAGUACGGCGGAACACGUGAAAUUCCGUCGGAAUCUGGGAGGACCAUCUCCCAAGGCUAAAUACUCCCUAGUGAUCGAUAGUGAACCAGUACCGUGAGGGAAAGGUGAAAAGCACCCCGGAAGGGGAGUGAAAGAGAUCCUGAAACCGUGUGCCUACAAAUAGUCAGAGCCCGUUAACGGGUGAUGGCGUGCCUUUUGUAGAAUGAACCGGCGAGUUACGAUCCCGUGCGAGGUUAAGCUGAAGAGGCGGAGCCGCAGCGAAAGCGAGUCUGAAUAGGGCGUUUAGUACGUGGUCGUAGACCCGAAACCAGGUGAUCUACCCAUGUCCAGGGUGAAGUUCAGGUAACACUGAAUGGAGGCCCGAACCCACGCACGUUGAAAAGUGCGGGGAUGAGGUGUGGGUAGCGGAGAAAUUCCAAUCGAACCUGGAGAUAGCUGGUUCUCCCCGAAAUAGCUUUAGGGCUAGCCUUAAGUGUAAGAGUCUUGGAGGUAGAGCACUGAUUGGACUAGGGGUCCUCAUCGGAUUACCGAAUUCAGUCAAACUCCGAAUGCCAAUGACUUAUCCUUAGGAGUCAGACUGCGAGUGAUAAGAUCCGUAGUCAAAAGGGAAACAGCCCAGACCGCCAGCUAAGGUCCCAAAGUGUGUAUUAAGUGGAAAAGGAUGUGGAGUUGCUUAGACAACUAGGAUGUUGGCUUAGAAGCAGCCACCAUUUAAAGAGUGCGUAAUAGCUCACUAGUCGAGUGACUCUGCGCCGAAAAUGUACCGGGGCUAAAUACACCACCGAAGCUGCGGAUUGAUACCGAAUGGUAUCAGUGGUAGGGGAGCGUUCUAAGGACAGUGAAGUCAGACCGGAAGGACUGGUGGAGUGCUUAGAAGUGAGAAUGCCGGUAUGAGUAGCGAAAGACGGGUGAGAAUCCCGUCCACCGAAUGCCUAAGGUUUCCUGAGGAAGGCUCGUCCGCUCAGGGUUAGUCAGGACCUAAGCCGAGGCCGACAGGCGUAGGCGAUGGACAACAGGUUGAUAUUCCUGUACCACCUCUUUAUCGUUUGAGCAAUGGAGGGACGCAGAAGGAUAGAAGAAGCGUGCGAUUGGUUGUGCACGUCCAAGCAGUUAGGCUGAUAAGUAGGCAAAUCCGCUUAUCGUGAAGGCUGAGCUGUGAUGGGGAAGCUCCUUAUGGAGCGAAGUCUUUGAUUCCCCGCUGCCAAGAAAAGCUUCUAGCGAGAUAAAAGGUGCCUGUACCGCAAACCGACACAGGUAGGCGAGGAGAGAAUCCUAAGGUGUGCGAGAGAACUCUGGUUAAGGAACUCGGCAAAAUGACCCCGUAACUUCGGGAGAAGGGGUGCUUUCUUAACGGAAAGCCGCAGUGAAUAGGCCCAAGCGACUGUUUAGCAAAAACACAGCUCUCUGCGAAGCCGUAAGGCGAAGUAUAGGGGGUGACACCUGCCCGGUGCUGGAAGGUUAAGGAGAGGGGUUAGCGUAAGCGAAGCUCUGAACUGAAGCCCCAGUAAACGGCGGCCGUAACUAUAACGGUCCUAAGGUAGCGAAAUUCCUUGUCGGGUAAGUUCCGACCCGCACGAAAGGUGUAACGAUUUGGGCACUGUCUCAACCAGAGACUCGGUGAAAUUAUAGUACCUGUGAAGAUGCAGGUUACCCGCGACAGGACGGAAAGACCCCGUGGAGCUUUACUGUAGCCUGAUAUUGAAUUUUGGUACAGUUUGUACAGGAUAGGCGGGAGCCUUUGAAACCGGAGCGCUAGCUUCGGUGGAGGCGCUGGUGGGAUACCGCCCUGACUGUAUUGAAAUUCUAACCUACGGGUCUUAUCGACCCGGGAGACAGUGUCAGGUGGGCAGUUUGACUGGGGCGGUCGCCUCCUAAAGUGUAACGGAGGCGCCCAAAGGUUCCCUCAGAAUGGUUGGAAAUCAUUCGUAGAGUGCAAAGGCAUAAGGGAGCUUGACUGCGAGACCUACAAGUCGAGCAGGGACGAAAGUCGGGCUUAGUGAUCCGGUGGUUCCGCAUGGAAGGGCCAUCGCUCAACGGAUAAAAGCUACCCCGGGGAUAACAGGCUUAUCUCCCCCAAGAGUC